rnacentral:RNase_P_RNA from 1 species
UGGAGGGGGCUGGCGCUCGCCCCGCGCUGAGGCGGGGAGGAAAGUCCGGACUCCAGGUGGAGGCACGCUGGGUAACGCCCAGCCGCGGUAACGCGAGGGAAAGUGCCACAGAAAACAAACCGCCCGGCACUCAACUCGACGGGGGUCGGCCCUGCAGGCUCGGAGCGACGGCGCCGGGCCGUUUCCAAAGGCUCUUGCCACCAUCGAGUUGAGUGCCGGGUAAGGGUGAAACGGUGGGGUAAGAGCCCACCGCCCGAGCCGCGAGGCGAGGGGCACGGCAAACCCCGUGCGGAGCAAGGCCAAAUAGGGGGAUCGACGGGCUCCACCCCCGGUUCCGUUCGCCGUUCGGCGGGCGGGGGAUCCCCGGGUAGGCCGCUCGAGCCGGCCGGUAACGGCCAGCCCAGAUGAAUGAGCGCCGCCCGUCUGCGGACGGGCACAGAAUCCGGCUUAUCGCCCCCUCCGGUAC